rnacentral:rRNA from 1 species
UAGGGAAUCUUCCACAAUGGACGCAAGUCUGAUGGAGCAACGCCGCGUGAGUGAAGAAGGCUUUCGGGUCGUAAAACUCUGUUAUUGAAGAAGAACGUGUGUGACAGUAACUGGUCAUGCAGUGACGGUAUUCAAUCAGAAAGUCACGGCUAACUACGUGCCAGCAGCCGCGGUAAUACGUAGGUGGCAAGCGUUGUCCGGAUUUAUUGGGCGUAAAGCGAGUGCAGGCGGUCUUUUAAGUCUGAUGUGAAAGCCUUCGGCUUAACCGAAGAAGGGCAUCGGAAACUGGGAGACUUGAGUGCAGAAGAGGAGAGUGGAACUCCAUGUGUAGCGGUGAAAUGCGUAGAUAUAUGGAAGAACACCAGUGGCGAAGGCGGCUCUCUGGUCUGUAACUGACGCUGAGGCUCGAAAGCGUGGGUAGCAAACAGGAUUAGAUACCCUGGUAGUCCACGCCGUAAA